GUCGCGUUCCUCGGAAUUGGAGCGUAAAGUGGGUGGUAAAUUUCAUCUAAAGCUAAAUAUAGGCUUGAGACCGAUAGCAAACAAGUACCAUGAGGGAAAGAUGAAAAGGACUUUGAAAAGAGAGUUAAAAGUGCUUGAAAUCGCUGAAAGGGAAGCGAAUGGAACCAGUCUUCUGGCUGAGAUUGUUGCGUGCUACUGUGAUGCCUGGCUGCUUCAACGCAAGUGUGGCAGUUAGAGUUGAUCAGCUGUGCGUGAUGUUUCUCAGCUUGUUAGUCAACCUUUGUUCGUGCUUGGGGAUAACUGCGGGUUCCAUGUUCUUCUCUGCGGAGUUGAGCUCGUGCCUGUAAGGACUCAGGUGUGUACAAUUGGUGACAAAAUGGUUCUCUUCGACCCGUCUUGAAACACGGACCAAGGAGUCUAGCACAUGUGCAAGUUCACAGGUGGCAAGCCUGCUUGCGCAAUGAAGGUGACUGCUGGGAUAUUUGCACCAGCAACCGACCAAUCAAUNGAGAGAAGUUUGAGUAUGAGCAUAUGUGUUAGG
rnacentral:rRNA from 1 species